UCCUUAUCACUCCACGACUCUCCAUGCCACUCUGGAUGUAACAACAUGCUCAUCAAACAAGACCUCCUCCGAAUAGCUCUCUUUUUUAUGUGGACUGCAGGUCAUAUUGAUGGCAGUGAUGUCACCCAGACUGCGCUGCUGUGGAAAGACAAGGGUGCCGAGGCAACAAUGAACUGCAGCCACACCAAGGGGAGCAGCUACUACCAGAUGUACUGGUACAGACAGCUGCCAGGAGAAACUAUGAAACAGAUCGUGUACACGUCCUUGGGCGUGAAUCAUGAUUUUGGAAAUUUCAGCAAGGAGAAAUUUUCAGCCACCAAGCCCGACGCUGACAGUGGGACGUUCACAGUGAAGAACCUGCAGCCGCAAGAUAAGGGCUUGUACUUCUGUGCUGUGAGCCAACACAGUGAUGCAGAAGCUCUCAACAGCUUAACAAAAACCACAGUGCACUGUAACAUAGCGGUUAUAAUAAUCGCAUGUACUGUAGGGGGACCUCGAGGACCACAAAUAGUCCAAGUGGAAUUUUUUAUAAAGCAGCUGUCAGGAACAGAAGAAGUCCCACAAUAAAGAGCCACUCCCACCGGCAGCUCUUCACAUCUCUGUAACCACACUGGAAGACUUAUGAGACCCUGACUUACACGUUGUAAUACAGCGAUGAGGAUGAAAGGUGAAUGCCAAACUCGUAGAUUUACAUCGGACUGAGAGUGCUCUACCGCACCGUUGUGACGAAAAGAGAGCUGAGCUGGAAGGCAAAGCUCUCGAUCUACCGGUCAAU